rnacentral:lncRNA from 1 species
ACAUAUGUACAUAAGUUUAUUCAUAUGUACACAUGUAGGCAUGUAUGUACGUACACAUGUAGGGAUGUAGUAUCUACACAUGCCUACAUACGUAUGUACCUACCUACCUACCUACCUACCUACCUACCUACCUACCUACCUAUAUACAUACAUAGUUACAUACCUACAUAUGUACAAACAUGUACAUACAUACCUACACACAUACCUACAUACAUGUACAUACAUACCUACUUCAA